rnacentral:rRNA from 1 species
UGCGGAGGGAGCUAGCGUUGUUCGGAAUUACUGGGCGUAAAGCGCACGUAGGCGGCUUUGUAAGUUAGAGGUGAAAGCCCGGGGCUCAACCCCGGAAUUGCCUUUAAGACUGCAUCGCUUGAAUCCGGGAGAGGUGAGUGGAAUUCCGAGUGUAGAGGUGAAAUUCGUAGAUAUUCGGAAGAACACCAGUGGCGAAGGCGGCUCACUGGACCGGUAUUGACGCUGAGGUGCGAAAGCGUGGGGAGCAAACAGG